UUGACCUCGAAUCAGGUGGGACUACCCGCUGAACUUAAGCAUAUCAAUAAGCGGAGGAAAAGAAACUAACAAGGAUUCCCCUAGUAACGGCGAGUGAAGCGGGAGAAGCUCAAAUUUAAAAUCUGGCAGUCCUCGAUUGUCCGAGUUGUAAUCUAGAGAAGCGUUUUCCGCGCUGGACUGUGUACAAGUUUCCUGGAUACGGAACAUCAUAGAGGGUGAGAAUCCCGUCCUUGACACAGACUCCCAGUGCU
rnacentral:rRNA from 1 species